CGUGUAGGCGGUUUGUUAAGUCUGAUGUGAAAGCCCCGGGCUCAACCUGGGAAGUGCAUUGGAAACUGGCAGACUUGAAUACGGGAGAGGGCAGUGGAAUUCCUGGUGUAGGAGUGAAAUCCGUAGAUAUCAGGAGGAACACCGGUGGCGAAAGCGGCUGCCUGGACCGAUAUUGAUGCUGAGACGCGAAAGCGUGGGUAGCAAACAGGAUUAGAUACCCUGGUAGUCCACGCCGUAAACGAUGAGUACUAGGUGUUGCGGGUAUUGACCCCUGCAGUGCCGCAGCUAACGCAUUAAGUACUCCGCCUGGGAAGUACGGUCGCAAGACUAAA
rnacentral:rRNA from 1 species